GACGAACGCUGGCGGCGUGCUUAACACAUGCAAGUCGAACGGAAAGGCCCUGCUUUUGUGGGGUGCUCGAGUGGCGAACGGGUGAGUAACACGUGAGUAACCUGCCCUUGACUUUGGGAUAACUUCAGGAAACUGGGGCUAAUACCGGAUAGGAGCUCCUGCUGCAUGGUGGUGGUUGGAAAGUGUCGGCGUUUGUGGAUGGACUCGCGGGUUAUGAGCUUGUUGGUGGGGUAGUUGCUUACGACGGCUUUGACGGGUAGCCGGCCUUGGAGGGUGGACGGGGACCUUGGGCCUGCGGGACGGACCAGAAGCGUACGGGAGGCAGCAGGCGGAAACCUGGCGGAACGGGGCGAAGCGAGUUGCAGAAACCUCGGGUUCGGGAUGCCGGCCUACGGGUUGUAAACAGAUUUGGCAUGAGAUGAACAGUGAGUGACGGUAAUGGGUAAGGAAGCAACGGCUAACUACGUG
rnacentral:rRNA from 1 species